rnacentral:rRNA from 1 species
GAACCCUUACCCGGGCUUGAACUGCACAGGAAGGAGAGAGAGAUCUUGACGCCCUUCGGGGCCUGUGUGGAGGUGCUGCAUGGUUGUCGUCAGCUCGUGCCGUGAGGUGUCGGCUUAAGUGCCAUAACGAGCGCAACCCCUUCCGGUAGUUGCCAUCAGGUGAUGCUGGGCACUUCUGCCGGGUACUGCCACCGUAAGGUGCGAGGAAGGUGGGGAUGACGUCAAAUCAGCACGGCCCUUACGUCCGGGGCUACACACGUGUUACAAUGGGCGGUACAGAGAGCUGGCGCUGCGCGAGCCGCGCCGAAUCCUCAAAGCCGCCCUCAGUUCGGACCGGGGUCUGCAACCCGACCCCGCGAAGCUGGAUUCGCUAGUAAUCGCGCAUCAGCCAUGGCGCGGUGAAUACGUUCCCGGGCCUUGUACACACCGCCCGUCAAGCCAUGAAAGCCGGGGGCGCCUGAAGUCCGUGACCGCGAGGGUCGGCCUAGGGUGAAACCGGUGAUUGGGGCU